AUUGACAUCAGAGCUCAACCACCCCACCUUAGAAGACGUUUGAUCAACAGAAGAGUGACUACCACUUCUGAGACAGCUUGAAAUGAAGAUACAUGAUGUCUCUGAGCCUCAGUUUCUUCAUAUGUAAAAUGGGGAUAAUAAAAUUAUCUACCUCUCAGGGUCAUGAGAGGAUUAAAUGAGCUAAUGCACAUUAAGUGCUGAACAGUGUGCUUGUUGACAAUAAAUGCUCUAUACAAGGUA